rnacentral:lncRNA from 1 species
GGAAAUAACUCUUAAAAUUGACAAUAUGGCAAAAGUUGCUUUGCGGCCAUGAGCAUCUAUCCUUUGUGAUUAUCAUUUGGAUUUAAUUUUUUGAGAUAGUCUCUAUCAUUUGCAUGAUGAUGCAUCAGUGAACUUAAUUGAGCAAGCAAUGAAUACCAUUGAAUUUGAGAGAUCCAGAGUUGAGAUAAACCUUAAGUAUAUGUGGAACCUUAGGC